AUGGCCGCUAUCGUCUCUUCCGCUGCGCCAACGACGCCGACUCCCCCGCGCGCCCGGAGGCCUCGACAGGCGCCCAGGAAUAGGCGCCUCCCCCUUGGAGGCCCCGCGGCGGGCCUCUUCACCACGCUCGGACUGAAUGGCAGCGGCGCCGCUCUCGCCGCCCCACUCUCCUACGAGGAGAUGCUGCGGCUCUCGUCCGACACCGCCGGUGGUGGGGGUGACGGGUUCUCCCUCCCAGACCUCGGCCUCGGCGGGUUGGUGGACUUCGUCGCGCAGAACCCGCUCGUCGUCGCCGCGGGCCUCGCCGUGGUAGCCGUGCCGUUGGCCGUUUCCCAGGUUCUUGGCGGCGCCUCCAAGCCAUACGAAACCGUGUCCGUGAAGGCCGCGUACCGGAGGCUUCUGGAGGAGCCAGACGCGCAGCUCGUCGACAUCAGGCCGCUCAAGGACGCCCGGGAGGUCGGCUUGCCGGACAUCUCGGAGGCCAAGAAGAAGGCGGUGGCCGUGCCCUACGACGGGGAGGACAAGAACGGUUUCUUGAAGAAGCUUGCGCUGAGGUUUAAGGACCCGGAGAACACCACAUUGAUCAUCCUUGACAAGUUUGACGGGAACUCUGAACUAGUUGCUGAGCUUGUCACAUCCAAUGGCUAUAAAGGUGCUUUUGCGGUAAAGGAUGGUGCGGAAGGACCUCGGGGAUGGCAGAGCAGUGAUCUUCCGUGGACUGCUCCCAAGAAGGGAUUCAGUUUGGACUUCGGUGAGCUAUUUGGGGAUGGUUCAGAAGGUUUGCCUGUCACAAUUGGUCUUGCUGCAGCUACUGGUUUGGGAUUACUUGCCUACACAGAGAUAGAAACCGUGCUACAGUUUCUGGGUUCAGCUGCCAUUGUCCAGCUUGUGGCAAGCAAGCUCGUGUAUGCCGAGGAUCGAAAGAAGACCCUGCAACAGAUUGAUGACUUCUUUAACAAGAAGAUUGCGCCAAAGGAGCUUGUUGAUGAAAUUAAGGAAAUCGGGCAGGCUCUCCUGCCUUCAUCUGGUGAAGCUAAGAGCCAACCAGCAGCAGCAACAGCGGCAGCGCCCCCUGCUGCCACGGCAACUGCUGCACCAGUAGCAGAACCAGCAGCCCCAGCUGCUGCCACGGCAACUGCUGCCCCAGUAGCAGAACCAGCAGCCCCAGCUGCUGCCACGGCAACUGCUGCACCAGUAGCAGAACCAGAAGCCCCAGCUGCAGAAGCCAGCACAGAGUCGCCUCCUGAUACCACAACAUCAUCGAGACCCCUGUCACCAUUUGCAAAUUACCCAGAUCUCAAACCACCGGCCAGCCCUUCCCCACCAGCUUCAGAGGGUAAAACCGAGGUGAAGGCCACCGUUGUCGCAGCAACCGAAUCGCCGGCGGAAGUUAACUCGGCACCGGUGGCAGAAGCCGUCGAAGAGUCAUCGCCUCCUGCGAAGCCCAGGCCUCUUUCGCCAUAUGCGAACUAUCCAGAUCUCAAACCGCCGGCCUCUCCUUCGCCUUCGCCGCCUUAG
rnacentral:rRNA from 1 species